UACGGGGGGGGCAAGCGUUGUUCGGAAUUACUGGGCGUAAAGAGCUCGUAGGCGGCUUAGCAAGUCGGGUGUGAAACCUCCAGGCUCAACCUGGAGACGCCACUCGAUACUGCUAUGGCUUGAGUUCGGUAGGGGUAAGCGGAAUUCCUGGUGUAGCGGUGAAAUGCGCAGAUAUCAGGAGGAACACCGACGGCGAAGGCAGCUUACUGGGCCGAUACUGACGCUGAGGAGCGAAAGCGUGGGGAGCGAACAGG
rnacentral:rRNA from 1 species